rnacentral:rRNA from 1 species
ACGGAGGUGGCAAGCGUUAUUCGGAUUUAUUGGGCGUAAAGGGCGCGUAGGCGGUUUGGUAAGUCUGAUGUGAAAUCUCCAUCGCUCAACGAGGAGUCUGCAUCAGAUAAUGCCAUUCUUGAGUACUGGAUAGGUAAGUGGAAUUCCUGGCGUAGCGGUGCAAUGCGUGGAUAUCAGGAGGAUCACCUGUGGCGAAAGCGGCUUACUGGCCAGUAACUGCCGCUGAGGCGCGCAACCGUGGGUAGCAAACAG